rnacentral:rRNA from 1 species
UGGGGAAUAUUGCACAAUGGACGGAAGUCUGAUGCAGCAACGCCGCGUGCGGGAUGACGGCCUUCGGGUUGUAAACCGCUUUUUCUCAUGACGAAGUUUUUUGACGGUAGUGGGGGAAGAAGCACCGGCUAACUACGUGCCAGCAGCCGCGGUGAUACGUAGGGUGCGAGCGUUGUCCGGAAUUAUUGGGCGUAAAGAGCUUGUAGGCGGUUUGUCGCGUCGAUAGUGCAAACUCAGUGCUUAACGCUGAGCCUGCUGUUGAUACGGGCAGACUAGAGGGAGGUAGGGGGGAAUGGAAUUCCCGGUGGAGCGGUGGAAGGCGCAGAUAUCGGGGGGAACACCGAUGGCGAAGGCGGUUCUCUGGGCCUUUCCUGACGCUGAGAAGCGAAAGCGUGGGGAGCGAACAGG